rnacentral:rRNA from 1 species
GACGAACGCUGGCGGCGUGCUUAACACAUGCAAGUCGAGCGGUAAGGCCCUUUCGGGGGUACACGAGCGGCGAACGGGUGAGUAACACGUGGGUGACCUGCCCUCAGCUCUGGGAUAAGCCCGGGAAACUGGGUCUAAUACCGGAUAUGACUUCAUGACGCAUGUUGUGGAGUGGAAAGCCUCGUGCGGCUGAGGAUGGGCCCGCGGCCUAUCAGCUUGUUGGUGGGGUGANGGCCUACCAAGGCGACGACGGGUAGCCGGCCUGAGAGGGCGACCGGCCACACUGGGACUGAGAUACGGCCCAGACUCCUACGGGAGGCAGCAGUGGGGAAUCUUGCGCAAUGGGC